AUUGAUUUUAUGCUUGCAUAAAUGAUUUUUGGAUUCGGAGCGAGUGGCGAACUGGUGAGUAACACGUGGGUAACCUGCCCCGAAGCGGGGGAUAACAUUUGGAAACAAGUGCUAAUACCGCAUAAUUAGUUGGAACCGCAUGGUUCCAACUUGAAAGAUGGCUCUGCUAUCACCUUGGGAUGGACCCGCGCCGUAUUAGUUAGUUGGUGAGAUAAAAGCCCACCAAGACGAUGAUACGUAGCCGACCUGAGAGGGUAAUCGGCCACAUUGGGACUGAGACACGGCCCAGACUCCUACGGGAGGCAGCAGUAGGGAAUCUUCCACAAUGGACGAAAGUCUGAUGGAGCAACGCCGCGUGAGUGAUGAAGGUUUUCGGAUCGUAAAACUCUGUUGUUAAAGAAGAACAAGUGUUAGAGUAACUGUUAACACUUUGACGGUAUUUAACCAGAAAGCCACGGCUAACUACGUGCCAGCAGCCGCGGUAAUACGUAGGUGGCAAGCGUUGUCCGGAUUUAUUGGGCGUAAAGCGAGCGCAGGCGGUUUUGUAAGUCUGCUGUGAAAGCCCUCAGCUCAACUGAGGAAGUGCAGUGGAAACUACAAAACUUGAGUACAGAAGAGGAAAGUGGAACUCCAUGUGUAGCGGUGAAAUGCGUAGAUAUAUGGAAGAACACCAGUGGCGAAGGCGGCUUUCUGGUCUGUUACUGACGCUGAGGCUCGAAAGCAUGGGUAGCGAACAGGAUUAGAUACCCUGGUAGUCCAUGCCGUAAACGAUGAAUACUAGGUGUUGGAGGGUUUCCGCCCUUCAGUGCCGCAGCUAACGCAUUAAGUAUUCCGCCUGGGGAGUACGACCGCAAGGUUGAAACUCAAAGGAAUUGACGGGGGCCCGCACAAGUGGUGGAGCAUGUGGUUUAAUUCGAUGCUACGCGAAGAACCUUACCAGCUCUUGACAUCUUCUGCCAACCCAAGAGAUUGGGCGUUCCCUUCGGGGACAGAAUGACAGGUGGUGCAUGGUUGUCGUCAGCUCGUGUCGUGAGAUGUUGGGUUAAGUCCCGCAACGAGCGCAACCCUUAUUAUUAGUUGCCAGCAUUUAGUUGGGCACUCUAGUGAGACUGCCGGUGAUAAA
rnacentral:rRNA from 1 species